UGUAGCUCAGUGGUAGAGCACUUACCUAGCAUGUGUAAGACCGUGGGUUCAAUCCCUACUA
rnacentral:tRNA from 1 species